UGCCUUGCUUUCUCAUGCAGAUUUUUUACCUGAUUGGAUUUGCACUGUUUUGCCUAGAAGCACUGCUGAGCUUGUGGUUACUUCAGAAAAUAUAUUUGUAUUUCCGAGGGAACAAGUAAUUCUUGGGUCUGGAAGCUGAAGCAUCUCUCUUUGAGGUGAACCUCUCUCUUACCGGUGAUGUAUGUUUCUUCUUAAUGGAAAGAGAUAUUAUGAAAUGAUUGGCUUGUACUAUAGUGAUUACUCUAAUAUUACUGUCGAAAUGUUUAUGCAUUGUAGUAGUUCGACAAAUUCGAUUCUAUUUUAUUUGUUUUGUUUGUCGGAAUUAAUUGAGGGUCCAGAGUGAGUUUUGUUUUGUCACAGGGCUUCGGAUCUUUGAGUUUGCCUUAUCAUUACUGCAGGAUUGCUUCUGAA